UACGUAGGCAGCAAGCGUUGUUCGGAGUUACUGGGCGUAAAGAGUAUGUAGGCGGUUGGGUAAGUUUGGUGUGAAAUCUCCCGGCUUAACUGGGAGGGUGCGCUAAAGACUGCCUGGCUCGAGUGUGGUAGAGGAUGGUGGAAUUCCCGGUGUAGCGGUGAAAUGCGUAGAUAUCGGGAGGAACAUCAGUGGCGAAGGCGGCCAUCUGGACCAACACUGACACUGAGGCACAAAAGCGUGGGGAGCAAACAGG
rnacentral:rRNA from 1 species